AGUGAAGUGCCUGAAAAAGGAUAACCAUGAUAGGGUUAAUCAUGUGAAGACUAAAUUCACCUACACUA
rnacentral:tRNA from 1 species